rnacentral:lncRNA from 1 species
UUUAGGCAUAUAAUGGGUAUUUUUGACUUUUUUCAGGAGCAAAAACUGGAUAUCAUCAUCAUCAUCUGAGAAUCAAAGAGCUGGAAGAUACCCUGUGGAUCAUUGAAUUGAGCCCAAGCUGCAAUCUCCUCUUACUCAGGCUCUACUCUCCCUGGCAGCCGUGUGUGACAGUUGGAAAUGUAGCAGAUUGCUCUGCCUGUGGAGGCUAUGAAGUCUUGGCCAUGCAUCUGAAGUCCCCCUAGCUCCAGACAUGAUUGUGUUUAAAUGUUAAGAGGCAUAACAUCUGGAUGGGACUAUGUGCAUAUGCAAAAGCAUGGUUUAUACAUUUCCACCUCUUGGAACACAAUUCAACUCUUCUCUGUUAAUGUAAAUAAUUGAUAUACUGACUUUUUUAAAAAAGUAGGAGUGCAAUAAUAUACUCUCAGAUUUUAAUUGCUGCCUGAAAAUGCUUGCCAGGUGCACAGAAUUAGCUCUAGACUUAGUUUUAACCUUUACAAUUUAUCCACGAUGCACAGAAAAUAAGAUGGUUUCUUAGUGGAGUUAGGAAAGUGUUGAUCCUUUAAGAAGGAAGAAAUCUGUUCAUUCCCUAGGUAUUUUAUAAAGCUUUCAUUUUCAGCAGAUAAUGUUUUAUGAAAAGAGAGUAUUGAAAACUGCUCGUUUGACCAUUUCUCUAACG